rnacentral:rRNA from 1 species
GAGUGGCGAACGGGUGAGUAGCACGUGAGCAACCUGCCCCGAAGACUGGGACAACACCGGGAAACCGGUGCUAAUACCGGAUAUCCCUAUCGGACCGCAUGAUCUGAUAAGGAAAUGGAUUCCGCUUCGGGAGGGGCUCGCGGCCUAUCAGCUAGUUGGUGAGGUAACGGCCCACCAAGGCAUCGACGGGUAGCUGGUCUGAGAGGACGAUCAGCCACACUGGGACUGAGACACGGCCCAGACUCCUACGGGAGGCAGCAGUGGGGAAUCUUGCGCAAUGGGCGAAAGCCUGACGCAGCAACGCCGCGUGGAGGACGAAGGCUUUCUGAGUUGUAAACUCCUUUCAGCAGGGACGAUAGUGACGGUACCUGCAGAAGAAGCACCGGCCAACUACGUGCCAGCAGCCGCGGUGAUACGUAGGGUGCAAGCGUUGUCCGGAUUUAUUGGGCGUAAAGAGCUCGUAGGCGGUUUGAUUAGUCGGGUGUGAAACCUCCAGGCUCAACCUGGAGCCGCCACUCGAUACUGUCAUGACUAGAAUUCGGUAGGGGACCACGGAAUUCCUGGUGUAGCGGUGAAAUGCGCAGAUAUCAGGAGGAACACCAGCAGCGAAGGCGGUGGUCUGGGCCGACAU